rnacentral:rRNA from 1 species
UUAAAGUCUAACCUGCCCACUGAAAAUUUUUAAAUGGCCGCAGUAUCCUAACUGUGCAAAGGUAGCAUAAUCAUUAGUCUUUUAAUUGAAGGCUGGAAUGAAUGGUUGGACGAGAUAUUAACUGUUUCAUUUGAAAUUUUAAUAGAAUUUUAUUUUUUAGUCAAAAAGCUAAAAUAAAUUUAAAAGACGAGAAGACCCUAUAAAUCUUUAUAUUUUAUUUAUUUUAAUUGUAAAGAUUAAUUUUAUUAUAAUAAAUUAAAAUAUUUUAUUGGGGUGAUAAUAAAAUUUAAAAAACUUUUAAUUUUUUAUCCAUUAAUUUAUGAAAUAUUGAUCCAUUAAUAAUGAUUAAAAAUUUAAGUUACUUUAGGGAUAACAGCGUAAUUUUUUUGGAGAGUUCAUAUCGAUAAAAAAGAUUGCGACCUCGAUGUUGGAUUAAGAUAUAAUUUUGGGUGUAGCCGUUCAAAUUUUAAGUCUGUUCGACUUUUAAAUUCUUACAUGAUCUGAGUUCAAACCGGCGUAAGCCAGGUUGGUUUCUAUCUUUAAAAUUUUAUAAUAUUUUAGUACGAAAGGACCAAAUAUUAAAAUAAUUAUAUUUUAGUUAAGAAUAUUAUUAAUAUAA